rnacentral:rRNA from 1 species
UGCCAGCCGCCGCGGUAAUACGGAGGGUGCGAGCGUUAAUCGGAAUUACUGGGCGUAAAGCGUACGCAGGCGGUUUGUUAAGCGAGAUGUGAAAGCCCCGGGCUCAACCUGGGAACUGCAUUUCGAACUGGCAAACUAGAGUGUGAUAGAGGGUGGUAGAAUUUCAGGUGUAGCGGUGAAAUGCGUAGAGAUCUGAAGGAAUACCGAUGGCGAAGGCAGCCACCUGGGUCAACACUGACGCUCAUGUACGAAAGCGUGGGGAGCAAACAGGAUUAGAUA